UUCAUAUUCAUCACUCAUGUUAUUGUGAGUGUGAUGCUUGCAUUUAUUGUAUGUUCAGUGAUAACAGAUUUAUUGCUCAAGCCUGUUCUGGGUAGUUCUGCUUUUGGGUCGAGUGAGUGACAGAGGGAAGAG